UACUGUUUACUCUAGGGUGCUUCUCACCGCCGAAGCUUGGAUUCCUUGUGGUCCUCCUCGAGGCACUGGAAGCCUCUUUGUAGUCGCUGCCAUCGGAACGAUAUGUCAAAAACAAACUGCUUGGACUUUGAAAUACAGACAAUCAUCCCAUUAGUCUAGCAUUUUGUUUCAAAUAACACUGGCAGCAGUUAUUUUUGUGAACUCGUUGAACAAGCAAGGAUAGGAGCAAC